rnacentral:rRNA from 2 species
GGCCUGCCUCUCGACGCUCCGUUCGCGGAGUGCAUGGGAGGGCAACAGGCACCUGAAUAAACAAAAACGACUCUCGGCAACGGAUAUCUCGGCUCUCGCAUCGAUGAAGAACGUAGCGAACUGCGAUACUUGGUGUGAAUUGCAGAAUCCCGUGAACCAUCGAGU